ACCCAAUUCAAGCCUUUGUUAAUUCCUUGGUAGUUUUUGCAGUUAAUAAAUUAGUAGAAGAUGGGUUAUCACAAUAAUCUUGAUAAGGUCCGUAAUAAGAGGGCCAAGUUUCCCUACACAAAGGAGCAGAUAAGGAACGUCUUCAAACGUCAUGACAAGAAUGGAGAUGGUCAACUUUCCAAAGAUGAGCUGGACGCAGCCUUCAAAGAACUUGGCUCGAUAUGGCCUCCUGGUAGAGCUUGGUUUGCUCAAAGGUAUGCAGAUGACGACGGCGAUGGCUUCAUUUCUAUAGACAAGGAGCUCAGCAAGCUCGUCCAGUAUGCCCUAGAAUUGAAGUAUACACUUAAGUAAUUAUAGUAUUAGUGGGUAACUAGUUCUUGUAUGUGCUUGCUAUAGAUAUAUUCUCAGCAAGCUCGUUGACUAUGCCCUCAAUUGAAGUUCUCUAUAUAAGUAAUCGUAGUGGUGGAGCUAAACUUGGUGUCUUAGUGACCACAACCACUUCAAGUCUAUAUGUAACUCCGUCUGUGUGUAAGCGUCUUUAAUUACUUGUAAGCAGCCGUAGUACCUAUAUAUGUGUGCAAGGUUGAAGGAACGAAAGAGGUGACCUUUUGUUUCCCUUCGUUACCAGGGAAGAUGAAUUUGAACCCUGAUUAUGUAUAAUAUAUAGUGAUUAACAAGAAUAAAGUAACAAACUUUGUGUAUUGAUAUCUAUUACGUAUACAUGUGUACGUAGGUGUGUCUAUAUAUUUAUAUAUGUACAUAUAUAUUGCAUUACAUACGUAUACAUACACAACUUACACUGAUAUUGUAUUACAUUCCCAAAUUCCUUCCCGGUCAAAAAGUCAACUUUUAUACUAAUAAAAUAUUCUAGGGGCAAAAUAGUCUUUUAUCUGAAUAAAUUAACAAUUAAAAAUUUAUUUAGGACUGGGUUGUUACAUAAACUCUUAUAAAUACCUCCUUAUGGAGAAGAAUAAAGUUAACCUAAUACAUUCAAACCAUAUUCAUAUUUUAGCACUAUGAAUGUUACCUUAUCGAGCAUGAGAUGUAUUUUGCUCACCCAGUAUCUCAUUCUCCUCAUCUAGGGGAGAGUAGCGUUGAAGAGUCGAAAUGGAUGGAGUUAUUUCAGGAUAAUAGUGAGGUUAAUUGGCUAGCCAUGUGUGACUUGACAACUAGUAACGAACCAAUCUGCACAGAACUGGCCAGUACCGCACUUGUGACUGAACCUACCAGUACCGUCGCACCCACAGCUUAUAACGUCUAUGCCGCCCCUCUCUCUACUACCUUUCUAGUACCCGGCCCCGAGUCUCCUCAUUCUAACAUUCUUGAGGUAAGUAUAUAAUCUUUGAUUAAUACUAACAAUGAUUGUGAAAUUAGUAAGUGUAGUGUGUAUCAGUUACCACCAAUGACUAAUCAUAGGAAGCCACCAUACGGAUAUUCACCAGAGCCUGCGACAUAGGUAAAGUAUCUUAUUUCUCAUUAUAUGUCUACUCAUAGAUUAUCUGAAGCUUGUCAGGCAUUUGUAAAUCAAAUGUCUAUGAUGACUAUUUCUAGUAAAGUACAAGAUGCAAUAUCUGAUUCAAAAUGGGCCAGUGCUAUGACUGAAGAGAUGCAAACUCUUGAGAAAGAUCAAACCUAGGAAUUGGUGCAACUGCCAGAAGGGAAGAAACCAGUUGGUUGCAGAUGUGUUAUAAAACACAAACCGGAUGGUUCUAUUGACAAGUAUAAAGCCAGACUUGUUGCCUGAGGUUUUUCCCAGACUUAUGAUAUUGAUUAACAUUUGCACCAAUGACUAAGAUCAAUACCAUUUGAGUUCGAUUAUCUUUAGCUGCAAACUUUAACUGGCCAUUGCAGCAAUAUGAUGUAAAAAAAUACCUUUUUACAUGGAGACUUACAAGAGGAAGUCUACAUGUCAUUGCCGCAAGGUUAUAAUGCUCAUACUGAUGCCAGUGUUCUGCGUAAAUUGAAGAAUACACUGUAUGGAUUGAAGCAGUCUCCGCGAACUUGGUUUAGGAGAUUGCGUCGUGCCAUGAAAAAAUAUGGUUAUGAGCAGAGCAACGCUCAUCAUACUUUAUUUCUUCAAAGGAAGAAUGGUAAGUUAACAGUUCUUAUUAUUAAUGCGGAUGAUAUGAUCGUGACUAGUGAUUGUCUUGAUGAAAUUGACAAAUUAAAAGGCUAUUUAGCUUCUGAGUUUGAUAUGAAGGAUCUCGGUGGAUUAAAAUAUUUUUUAGGUAUUGAGGUAACUUGUUCUGAACAUUGAAUUUUCUUGUCACAAAGAAAAUAUGUUCUUGUCACAAAGAAAAUAUGUUCUUGAUUUGCUAAAGGAAUCAGGUAUGCUUGGGUGUGAACCGAUUGGUACUCCUAUAGAACAAAAUCAUGGUUUGGAAGAAUAUCCAGAUCAAGUUCUAAGUGAUAAGGGACGAUAUCAAAGGUUGGUUGGUCGUUUGAUUUAUUUGUCUCAUACUAGACCUGAUAUUGCAUAUGCAGCAAGUGUUGUAAGUAGGUUCAUGCAUAAUCCAAGUCCAUGAUAUAUGGAUGCAGUAGUCUGAAUUUUGAGGUAUUUGAAAUUUGCACCAGGAAAAGGUAUGAUGUUCUUAAAGCAUGGGCAUGUAAAGGUUGUGGGGCAUACAUACUCAGACUGGGCAGGAAAGGAGGAUAAGAGGAGAUCGACAUUUGGUUAUUUCACGUUUGUUUAGGCGGUAACUUGGUUACUUUAUAGUCUAGGUGAUUGACCCCAAGCUUUUUGGAUGUUAGGUAUAUAUAGUUGGCUAUCGCGUUUAAGUACUUUUGGUUUCAGAGCGACACCCUUAUCCAUAUGGCAUCUACAACACAACAUAAAACAUAAGUUCUUUUCUUUUCAUAUCGGAUAUUGCUUUCGAGUUUCAUAUCCACCACGCUGUGUGUUAUCCCUAUGGCAUCUACGAUGGGGAUGCUUGUCCCAAUAGUCAUAGGCCAAAUCUCACCGAAAAGUCGAGCACUUUUUAGAAAGAAAGAAAGAAAGAAAGAAAAAGAAAAAAAAAAAAAAAAAAAAAAGGGUUUCACAAACCGAAAAGUUGAAUUAUUCAUUUCAACAAUUGGCAGAUGAAGUAUUUUUCUUAUCAACUUUACUACCAAAGAAAAGCUCACAAACCGUUUUAGACCAAACAAUUAAGCAUCUAUUAUCACUACUUGCAAGGUUCCAUGCUUUAUGUGCACGCAAAAUCUAGUCCAUAUAUCAUCCAUUGGAAUCAAGUAUUAUUUUUAAGGAGAGUGAUUGGCUCCUUGCCAAACUAUAUAUCAACAAAAUAUUAGCUAAAAUAUUGACAAUGUACCAUAUAUUGUAGAUAUGUUAGUACUCGAUACCAACAAAUUCUUUUCCAGAAUAAAGACCCAUGAGGCAUGUGACUUGAGGAAUAUUAGAAUACUUUUUUAAGGUCCAACAUGUGCGCAGGGGACCAGGCAGAAUCUUGUAUAAAUGGGAUUGAAUUCAUAGUGCAAGUCAUACAAGCCCUAGUUAAUUCCUUAUCCUUGGUAGUUUUGCAGUUAAUAAAUUAGAAGAAGAUGGUUUGGGAAACAAAAAGGUAUAAGGCCCCGAGCAAGGUUCCCUACACAAAGGAGCAGAUAAGGGACGUCUUCAAACGUCAUGAGACGAAUGGAGAUGGUCAACUUUCCAAAGAAGAGCUGGAUGCAGCCUUUGACGAACUUGGCGCGAAAUGGCCUCCUUUUAGAGCUUGGUUUGCUCGACGGUAUGCAGAUGACAACGGCGAUGGCUUCAUUUCUAUAGACAAGGAGCUCAGCAAGCUCGUCGAUUAUGCCCUAGAAUUGAAGUAUAUACUUCAUUAAUUAUAGUAUUUGUGGGUAACUAGUUCUUGUAUGUGCUUGCUAUAGAUAUAUUCUCAGCAAGUUCAUUGACUAUACCCUCAAUUCAAGCUUUCUAUAUAUGUAACUCUGUCCGUGUGUAAGCGUCUUUAAUUACUUAUAAGCCACCGUAGUUCCUAUAUAUGUGUGCAAGUUGAGGGAACAAAAGAGGUGAUCUUUUGUUUCCCCUUGUUACCAGGGAGGAUGAAUUUGAACCCUGAUUAUGUAUAAUAUAUAUAGUGAUUAACAAGAAUAAAGUAACAAACUUUGUGUAUUGAUAUCUAUUACAUAUAUAUAUAUGCGUACGUAGGUGUGUCUAUAUAUUUAUGUAUAUACAUAUAUAUUUUAUUACAUACGUAUACGUACACAACUUACACUGAUAAAAGCUCCGUGUUAUAGAGAUUACUGCAAUCCACUCAACACCACAUGUGGAAGCAUGGACAUUAGCAGAGUAACUUAAUAUGAUUCCAUACCAAUAUCUUGUUCAAGUGGCGUAGAGAUUUAAAUUUAAAAUCUUCAUAUAAGUAUAUCAAAAAAGAAAAAGAAGAAAAGAAAGAACUCUCACACAACUUUUCAUUGUUAUACACUCUUUUCCUAAGGGUGUACAUCCGUUCAAAACUAAUACAAUUUUACCAAUCUGCAUCUGAUUCAAUAUAUAGAUUGGAUUAUGAUUUUCUAAUCCAAUCCGAUCUCAUUAGAAGUAUAAAUCCAAUCCGAUCCAAUUAAAAUUGAAUUAGACUGGAUUGAAUGAUCAAUUUUUAUAAUGAAAAAUAGUAAUAACAAAAUAUAAAACAUUUAUCUUCAAGUUGAAUAUAAUCAAACAUUUCAGAACUUGGAGAGCACGAUGCCAUGCAGAUACCAACAGCAAAGACAGGUCCAUCCUCAACGUCAACGACCUUGUCAAAUAUGCCCUAAAACGUGGCUAUAAACUCUGAUUAACUCAGAAGCAGAUGAGGGGUUUUAGUCAACUAAUUAAUAUAAUAUAUAUGUGUAUAUGUGUGUAUGUAUGAGAGUUUUUAAUUACUUAUCUGCGAGUUCCAGCCAUAUAUACAUAUAUGUGUGUAUGCUAGAGAAGGAAGGAGGUGAGCUUUUGUUUCCCCCUCUUUGGCAAGGUUUGAUGAAUCAGAAUUAUGAUUUAUGUGGAAACUUUUGUAUUUCGCAAUGUGAUUUAAUAAUCAAAAAAAUUUAUAUUUAGAUAUCCUUUAUUAAGUAUCACCAAUUUAAUAUAAUUUUAUAAUUCACACCAACUAGCUUUUAAUAUAAUGAUAAUUGUCUCCACUUAAUUGAAUAAAGUUGCUACUCCGCUCCCUUCGCGGCCUCGGCAUCCCUGACAGCUUGGAUAGCAGCACCACCAAAUCUUGAUUUGAUUCAUAUGAAUACAACAUAACCUGCUUUGUAAACCUCGUAUGUAUAGUUUGAAGAGGAAAAGAAUUAUCAUCCAUACCAAAUCCAGAAAAACCAAAUUAUGUAUAUUAAAUGAGUUAGUAGUUACAAGGUCAAUAAUUUAUGGAGUAUAGGUGAUUGACCCCAACCUUUUUGGAUGUUGGGCAUAUAUAGCUAGCUGUCGCGUUGAAGUAGUUUUGGUUUCAGAGCGACACUCUUAUCCAUACAAUAUGUCGGUGUGCCGAUGAAAGAAUCUAUUGAUUUGUCCUCGCAAUGCAAGUGAAGGAUAAACGGCAAACUGUGUGAAUGUUUUUACUGUGAUCAGUAUGGUUGUAGAAACCAAAGCGAAGGCCUAGCUAGUUGACCCAAGUCAAGCAAAAGAAUCUAUUAGAAUUCUUCAUGUAGGACGUACGCAGGCUUAGUUUUUGUGCUUGCUGCUGAUUAGUCUGUGAUCAUGUAAUAUAAUGUCUCUGUGUAUGUACAUAUAUGCGUAUGUUAAUGAAUUAAUGACCAGUGAGCAGCCAUAGCUCUGUUUCAUAAAAUGGAUAAGCACAAAAUUUAGAAAAUAUGUGAAGGGCAUUAGUUAAUGGUUAUGUUGUUUUAUUGUUAAUGUCUAAUCUAUAUUUCAGUAAUACCAUGUGACACCAAAUGAGUUCUGUUACAAUCACCUUUUUCAUUUUCUUUUAUGAAAAAAAAGAAAAAGAAAAAAAAAACUUGAAACCAAAUGAGUUUGAUUCACAUGAAUUGCAUAAUGGGUAUAAGAUUGUCGCAAGUAAUUUGUUGAAGUGUUUCUCAUACAAUGACUCCAAAAUCAGAAGCCAAAAAGGGGAAGAAAAAUUAUGAAGCCAGAACCUGGCUUACCUGACGAAUCAGCAUCCAACGAGAGAAAAGUUGAAGCCGAUCGAGUUUAUGAUUUUCUUGGAGGACUUGAUUCACCGUAUGAUGGUGUCUAUAGCCGUAUUCUUACUCUUAGUCCUAUCCCGCCCCCUCUCGAAGCCUAUACCAUGGUCAUGGAGGAAGACACUCGUUAGUCUGCUAUGCUUAGAGGAGGUUCGAUGGCCCUCAAAGUCGACCCAGCCCGUCAAUGACCGGUCACUACCCAUCCAGAAAAUUUUCUUCUUCUGCUAGGCCUCGUUCUUCUGGAUCUAUCCCUAGCUCUCUUGAAGGUCCUCCUAAGUGUCGUCAUUGUAAUGGGAAUCACUAUUCUGAGAAGUGUUUUAAGGAGCAUGGUUAUCUUGAUUGGUUUGCUAACUACACGGCUCGUAUGUAUGGUCCUAAAGCCGCCUAUACUAUGACUCAAGAUGAGGCUCGUCCUCUGGCCCUUUCUACAAAUCUGUGUGCUUCUGAUACCAUGCCAUGUAUGGGUUCUAAUACUUGGAUAAUUGACACUGAUGCUUCUGAUCAUAUGACUUUUGAUAAUAAUAUGUUUGAUGAGUUGUCCCAUAACCCUCGUGACCCUUAUAUUACUAGUGCUAAUGGUUUACCUUCCCCAGUUAUUGGUGAAGGUACCAUCCAACUCGCUCAUUCUUUACCUCUAUCCCAUGCACUCUUGGUUCCAAAUAUUCGUUGCAAUUUGUUAUCUGUUGGGCGUUUACUUGAUACACUUAACGCGUCUGCUACUUUCUAUUCUACCUAUUGUUUUUCCAAGAUCUCAAAACUCACGAGAAGAUUAGGCAUAGUAAAUAGAUGGGGGGUUGUAUUACUUAUAGUUAUCAGUUGCAGCAGUUCGUGGUUGUGUCGCUAAUAAAGUUUAGAAUGGCAGUGUCAAAGACAAGCAACAACUUUGGUUGUGGCAUCGUCAUUUAGGACAUCCGUCCUUUGUUUAUCUUAAACAUUUGUUUUCUUCAUUAUUUAGUUUGUGUGAUGAGUCUAGCUUCAAAUAUGAAACUUGUGUAAUGGCCAAGAGCUACCGUAUUGUUUUUCCCUUGAGUAAUAAUAAAGCUGCAUUGCCUUUUGAGUUAGUACAUUCGGAUGUAUGGGGUCCUUCCCGUGUGACUUCUAAUGGUUUCCGUUGGUUUGUCACGUUUAUUGAUGACUGCACUCGCUUAACAUGGGUAUAUUUGAUGAAGCAUAAACAUGAUGUUGCCUCUAUUCUUCCUAUUUUUUGUGCUAUGGUGUCUACUCAGUUUCAUGCCAGUAUUAAAGUAUUUCGGACUGAUAAUGGAGGUGAAUAUGUGAAUCAUACCUUGACCCAUUUCGUCCGUGAUCAAGGUAUCAUCCACCAAACUACCACUCUAUUCACUCCUCAACAGAAUGGUAUGUCUGAACGUAAGAAUCGUCAGUUACUUGAAGUUGCUCGCUCCCUUAUGUUGGAUAUGUCUUUUCCCCAUCAUCUUUGUGGACACGGUGUCUUGGCCACUGCUCAUUUGAUUAACCGUACUCCUAGUCGGGUUCUUGAUUUCAAGACUCUGCUUGAUGUGUUAUGUACCCAUACUUCUCCAGUCUCGGUCUCUAAGUUACCUCCAAAGGUGUUGGGUGUGUUGCUUUUGUUCAUGUCUACUCUCAUUAACGGAGUAAACUGGACCUGUGUGCGCUUCGCUGUGUCUUCAUUGGCUAUUCUACCACUCAAAAGGGUUACAAGUGCUAUCACCCUCAUUCACAGAAAGUACAUGUUACUUUGGAUGUCAUCUUUCACGAAAAAGUAUCGUAUUAUGUCUCUUCCUCCUCUCUAAUUCAGGGGGAGAAGGGGAGUGAAUUGAAGAGUUUCGGAAUGGAAAAUCAUGGACGUAAAGAGGCAUGUGAAGGAAUUUCUGACCAAGUGCCAACGACCGGUCGUGUAAAGGAAGCAACCGGUCACCAAGUAAUCUGCCUGGAAUCGACCGGUCGAGCAGACGAUGACGACUAGUCGCAUGCCUAGAUGACUGAUGACUGCCAGGAAACGACGAUCGAUCGCUCAAAAGAUGACGAUCGGUCGCCUAUUGAAUUCUUUGAUGAAAUUUGCUCUUCGCCAAAAGAACGUGACAGUGAUACUGGUGACUCUUGUGAAGAUAAGAUCGAUAUAAGACCCCCAUCUGCUCUGCCACUGCCCCAAUCAACUCUUGAUAAUGAUGAAGUACUUUCUAAUGAUGUGUCUACUUAUUCAUUACCCCCACCCACUACUCGUGGUAAACCUAAAGUACAAUAUUCUAUUGAUAUACAUUCCAAAUCUAAAUAUCUCAUUAACCAUUAUGUGCCAACUCAUCGUCUAUCUAAGUCAUAUGCAUCAUAUUUGUGUCAAUUAUCUAGUGUUUGUAUGUCAACUAAGUUGCAUGAUGCUUUAUCUAAUCUAAAAUGGGUAGAUGCAAUGCAUGUUGAGAUGGAAGCCUUGAACAAGAAUGCCACUUGGGAGCUAGUUCCUUUACCAAAAGGAAAAAAGGCAGUUGGGUGCAGAUGAGUGUUUACUUUGAAGACAAUGCUGAUGGUUCCAUUGACCGUUACAAGGCAAGGUUGGUAGCAAAAAGUUAUACUCAGACUUAUGGAGUGGAUUACACAGCGACCUUUGCUCCAGUAGCAAAGCUCAAUACUGUGCGCGUACUCUUGACCUUGGUUGCUAAUCAUGAUUGGCCUAUGUUACAAUUCGAUGUCAAAAAUGCAUUCCUCCAUGGUGACCUCAAGAAAGAAAUAUACAUGGAUCCUCCGCCGAGUAUUCCUGUGACCUCUAAGGAGGGUAUGGUGUGCAAACUAUGGAAAUCCUUAUAUGGAUUAAAGCAGUCUCCAAGAGCUUGGUUUAGGAAGUUUGCUGCAUCUAUUAGGAAGUUUGGGUAUGUAUAAAGUAAUUCGAAUCAUACGUUGUUUCUGAAGGGUCGCAAAGGUAAAUUGACAGCUUUAAUAAUUUAUGUUGAUAAUAUAAUUGUAACUGGAGAUGAUCAUGCAGAAAUACACAGUCUCCAGAAAUAUCUGGCGUCUGAGUUUGAGAUGAAAUCAUUAGGUGACUUGAAGUAAUUUCUCGGGAUUGAAGUUGCUAAAUCUAAGCGUGGUAUUUUCCUGUUUCAAAGGAAGUAUAUUUUGGAUUUGCUUGCAGAAACUGGAAUGAUGGAUUGUAAACCAAUUGAUAAUCCUAGUGAACAAAAUCACAAGUUGGGGUUCUAUCCUGAUCAAGUUCCUACUGAUAAGGAGUGCUAUCAACAGCUCGUGGGGAAAUUAAUUUAUUUAGCUCAUACAUGUCCUGACAUUGCGUAUGCAGUGAGUGUAGUGAGUCAGUUUAUGCACUUGCCUAGUGAAGACCAUAUGGGAGCUGUGACGCGUAUUUUGAGAUAUCUCAAAGUAACUCCUGGCAAUGGGUUAAUGUUUUCAAAGUAUGGUCAUAUAGAUGUGGAAGGAUACACAGAUGCUAAUUAGGCAAGUUUAGCUAUUGAUAGGCGUUCUACGUCUGGGUAUUUUACGUUUGUUGGUGGUAAUCUUGUUACUUGGAGAAGCAAGAAACAAAAUGUGGUGUCUUGUUCUAGUGAUGAGGCUGAGUAUCGUUGGAUGGCCCAUGACGUAUGUGAGUUACUGUGGUUGAGGAGAUUAUUGAGAGAUCUUGGCUUUGGACCUAAGAAACCUAUGGAUUUAUAUUGUAACAAUAAGGCUGCGAUUGCAAUUGCUCAUAAUCAUGUACAACAUGAUCGUACAAAGCAUGUGGAGGUUGAUCGAAAUUUCAUUAAAGAGAAGUUCGAUGCGGAGAUUGUUUCCUUCCCAUUCAUCAGUUCUGAGUAUCAGUUAGCUGAUGUCCUUACGAAAGCUGUUUCUACAAGUAUCUUCCUCAACUCGCUUGACAAGUUAGGCAUGUGUGACGUCUUUGCUCCAACUUGAGAGGGAGUGUUGGCGAGAUAUCCUAACCCUAUUAGGAUAUUUCCUUCUUAUUCUAAUAGGAUUUUAUUUAUUUCUUUUUGUAUAGAUAUUACGUAAUUAGGACUUUUCUUAUUUCCUAGUAUAACCCUAUUAGAGUUUGUAACCUUGUAUUAUAAAUACCUCCUUUCGAAAAAUGAAAUACAUAUAAAAAAUAUUAUACCUAUAUUGUUUGACUAAGAUGAUGCAAGGGUUGAGUCUGAUAAUACGCAGGGUAGAAGAUGAAGAGGCGAGAGAACAUGUUUGUGUCAAACAUGUAUUUUAAUAAUUUUUUUUAAUAAAAAAAAAUGAAUUGAAGAGUUAACAGAGUUAAAAUGUUGUUAAAUAGUGUGCCACAUGUUACAAAAUCAAGGAGGAAAUGGGGACACAGAGAAUUUGGUAACAGAAAAAUUCAACUUGUAAGAGUAGCACUAGUUUAUAGUCCAUAGGUGAUUGACCCCAACCUUUUUGGAUGUUAGGCAUAUAUAGAUAGCUAUCGCGUUUAAGUACUAUUGGUUUCAGAGCGACACCCUUAUCCAUAUGGCAUCUACAACACAACAUAAAACAUAUGUUCUUUUCUUUUCAUAUCGGAUAUGGCUUUCGAGUUUCAUAUCCACCACGCUGUGUGUUAUCCAUAUGGCAUCUACAAUUGGGAUGCUUGUCCCAACAGUCAUACGCCAAAUCUCACAUAAUGAAUCUCGAUCCAACUUAAAGAGUAUAAGAUGGAGAUCUCAAGUACUCUUGAGUCUGAUAAUUAUAUUUCCAACGUUAAUUUAGGGGUUUUAGUACUUAUGAUUAAUAAUUUAUAGUUAAAAUGUUUUUAUAUGUUAUAUUAAAAUACUAUGUGCAAAGGAUUCACUAGUGUAGUGGUUUAAAGCAAUUUCUCUUUCAGACAACGUUAUAGGUUCGAAUUCUAAUAUCUGCUAGAAAGAAAGAAAGAAAAAGGUUUCACUCACAAACCGAAAAGUUGAAUUAUUCCUUUCAACAAUUGGCAGAUGAAGCAUUUUACUGUUAUCAACUUUACUACCAAAGAAAAGCUCACAAACCGCUUUUGACCAAACAAUUAAGCAUCUAUUAUCACUACUUGCAAAGUUCCAUGCUUUAUGUGCACGCAAAAUCUAGUCCAUAUAUAUGACUCGAUUUUUUUUAAAUAAUCAACUGUAGUUUACCAAUUUCAUCUGCGGAAAUUACAAGAGGCAACACUUAGAACAAGAGAAACCUAACUCAAAAACAAGAAGAACAAGAAUUUGUUUGAUAUUUCAUCCAUUGGAAUCAAGUAUUAUUUUUAAGGAGAGUGAUCGGAUCGAUGCCAAACUAUAGUAAGUAUAUAUCAACAAAAUACCAAACUGGAGUAUCAAGAAAAUAUUGAAUAAAAUAUCAAUAAUGUAUCAUAUACUGUAAAUAAAUUGGUACCCGAUACCAACAAAUUCUUUCCCAAAAUAGAGACCCUUGAGGCAUGUGACUUGAAGAAUAUUAGAAUACUUUUGGAGGUCCAACAUGUGCGCAGGGGAUCAGGCAGAGCCCUAUAUAAAUGGGCUCCCUCAUAGUGUACAAGUCACCCAAUUCAAGCCUUUGUUAAUUCCUUGGUAGUUUUUGCAGUUAAUAAAUUAGUAGAAGAUGGGUUAUCACAAUAAUCUUGAUAAGGUCCGUAAUAAGAGGGCCAAGUUUCCCUACACAAAGGAGCAGAUAAGGAACGUCUUCAAACGUCAUGACAAGAAUGGAGAUGGUCAACUUUCCAAAGAUGAGCUGGACGCAGCCUUCAAAGAACUUGGCUCGAUAUGGCCUCCUGGUAGAGCUUGGUUUGCUCAAAGGUAUGCAGAUGACGACGGCGAUGGCUUCAUUUCUAUAGACAAGGAGCUCAGCAAGCUCGUCCAGUAUGCCCUAGAAUUGAAGUAUACACUUAAGUAAUUAUAGUAUUAGUGGGUAACUAGUUCUUGUAUGUGCUUGCUAUAGAUAUAUUCUCAGCAAGCUCGUUGACUAUGCCCUCAAUUGAAGUUCUCUAUAUAAGUAAUCGUAGUGGUGGAGCUAAACUUGGUGUCUUAGUGACCACAACCACUUCAAGUCUAUAUGUAACUCCGUCUGUGUGUAAGCGUCUUUAAUUACUUGUAAGCAGCCGUAGUACCUAUAUAUGUGUGCAAGGUUGAAGGAACGAAAGAGGUGACCUUUUGUUUCCCUUCGUUACCAGGGAAGAUGAAUUUGAACCCUGAUUAUGUAUAAUAUAUAGUGAUUAACAAGAAUAAAGUAACAAACUUUGUGUAUUGGUAUCUAUUACGUAUAUAUGUGUACGUAGUUGUGAACUUGUGUCUAUAUAUUUAUGUAUGUACAUAUAUAUUGUAUUACAUACGUACACAUGCACAACUUACACUAAUAAAAGCGCCAUGUUAUAGAGAUUACUACAAUCCACUUAACACCACAUGUGGAAACAUGGACAUGACCAGAGCAACUUAAUAUGAUUCCAUAUCAAUAUCUUGCCUUUUGUUUUGGUACAUUCUGAUGUUUGGGGCCUACUCCAAUUACUAGUACUUCUGGCUUCCGUUGAUUUGUUAUUUUGUGGAUGAUUGCACUCGCAUAUCAUGGUUGUACCUGAUGCAAAAUAAGAGUGAUGUUUUUGCUUGCUUUCGAACUUUUCACCAGAUGAUUAAAAAUCAAUUUUCUGCUACUUUAAAGGUGCUUCUUUCAGAUAAUGGUGGUGAACAAUUUUGAUGAUUCUUCCCUUCAUCCACACCAUUCUUACACAGUUAUUUUCAGAAACAUGGAAUUCUACAUGAGACUACUUGUCCUUACACACCUCAGCAGAAUGGUGUGGAUGAAGGGAAGAAUCAUCAAAAUUGUGAAAUUACUCAUGCUAGUCUUAUAGGUGCCCAUAUGACCCCAUAAUUCUAGGAGGAGGUGAUCACCUAUACAGUCUAUCUUCUUAAUAUUGUGUUCCUGCUAGUGUCCUGUAGUUUAAGACACCAUUGGACAAAUUUGAGGCUUAUGUUUCCUUCCUAUCUCAUAUCACUCUUCUGUCACAUCUCGGGAUCGGCUCCGUCAUAGCACGAUAUUGUCCGCUUUGGGCCCCCUUUCUGCCCUCACAGUUUUGUUUCUAUGAAUCACGAGCAACUUCCCAGUGAGUCACCCAUCCUGGGAUUGAUUUAGCCCCAACUCGCUUAACUUCAGAGUUCCCAUGACUCUGAAGCCAGUGAGCUCUCAAAAGGCCUCGUGCUAGAUGGAGGAGGGCAUGUACAUAUAAGGCACAUCACCCCCUCUCCGUUGGUCGAUGUGGGAUGUUACACUUCUACCUUGUGUUUUUAGAUGCGUUGCUUUUGUGCACUUGCACAAACAUCAACAUACGAAAUUCGAUCAGUGUGCUGUGAAGUGUGUGUUUAUUGGUUAUCACCCCCAUCAGAAGGGUUAUCGGUACUUUCAUCUACCGAGUCAACAUUUUUAUGUUACUAUGAAUGUUACGCUUUCCAAGCAUGAGAUGUAUUUUGCUAAACCAGUAUCUCAUUCUCCUCUUAUGGGGGAGAGUAGCGUUGAAGAGUCAAAAUGGAUGAGUUAUUUCAGGAUAAUAAUGAGGUUAAUUGGUAGCCAUGCGUGACUUGACAGCUAGUAACGAACCAACCUGCACAGUACCAACCAGUACCGCACCUGCGACUGAACCUACCUGCACAUUCGCACCCACAGCCGAUAACGUCUGUGCUGCCCCUCUCUCUACUACUUUUCCAGUACCGGCCCUAAGUCUCCUCAUGCUGACAUUCUUGAGGUAAGAAUAGAAUCUUUAAUUAACACUAACAAGGAUUGUGAAAUUAUUGAGCGUAGUGAGUAUCAGUUACCAACAAUGAGUAAUUGUGGGAAGCCACCAUAUGGAUAUUCACCAGAGCCUGCGACAAAGGUAAAGUAUUUUAUUUCUCAUUAUAUGUCUACUCACAGAUUAUCUGAAGCUUGUCAGGCAUUUGUAAAUCAAAUGUCUACUGUGGCUAUUUAUAGUAAAGUACAAGAUGCAUUGUCUGAUUCAAAAUGGGCUAUUGCUAUGAUUGAAGAGAUCCAAACUCUUGAGAAAAAUCAAACCUAGGAAUUGGUGCAACAGCCAUAAGGGAAGAAACCAGUUGGUUGCAGAUGUAUUAUACCAUAAAACACAAACCGGAUGGUUCUAUUGACAAGUAUAAAGCCAGACUUGUUGCCCAGAGUUUUACCCAAACUUAUGGUAUUGAUUAUCAAGAGACAUUUGCACAUGUGGCUAAGAUCAAUACCAUUCGAGUUCUACUAUCUUUAGCUACAAACUUUAACUGACCAUUGCAGCAAUAUGAUGUAAAAAAUGUCUUUUUACAUGGAGACUUACAGGAGGAAGUCUACAUGUCAUUGUCACCAGGUUAUAAUGCUCCUACUGAUGCCAGUGUUCUGUGUAAAUUAAAGAAUGCACUGUAUGGAUUGAAGCAGUCUUUGCAAGCUUGGUUUAGGAGAUUGCGCCGUGCCAUGAAAAAUAUGGUCAUGAGCAGAGCAAUGCUCGUCAUACUUUAUUUCUUAAAAGGAAGAAUGGUAAGUUAACAGCUCUUAUUAUUUAUGCGGAUGAUAUGAUCGUGACUGGUGAUGAUCUUGAUGAAAUUGGCAAAUUAAAAGGCUAUUUCGCUUCUGAAUUUGAUAUGAAGGAUCUCGGUGGAUUAAAAUAUUUUCUGGAUAUUGAGGUAACUCAUUCUGAAUAUGGAAUUUUCUUGUCACAAAGAAAAUAUGUUCUUGAUUUGCUAAAGGAAACAGGUAUGCUUGGGUGUGAACCGAUUGGUACUCCUAUAGAACAAAAUCAUGGUUUGGAAGAAUAUCCAAAUCAAGUUCCAACUGAUAAAGGACGAUAUCAAAGGUUGGUUGGUCGGUUGAUUUAUUUGUCUCACACUUGACCUAAUAUUGCAUAUGCAGUAAGUGUUGUAAGUAGGUUCAUGCAUAAUCCAAGUUUACGAUAUAUGGAUGCAGUAGUCCAAAUUUUGAGGUAUUUGAAGUCUGCACUAGGAAAAGGUCUGAUGUUCUUAAAGCAUGGCAUGUAAAGGUUGUGGGGUAUACGGACUUAGACUCGGCAGGGAAUGGGGAUAAGAGGAGAUAGACAUUUGGUUAUUUCACGUUUGUUUAGGCGGUCACUUGGUUACUUGGAAGAGUAAAAAGCUGAAGGUUGUCUAUUUGUUGAGUCCAGAUGUCGAGUAUCGGGCUAUGGUGAAAGGUGUUUGUGAAGUGCUAUGGUUAAAAAGGCUUAUGGGGGAGCUAGGUUUUCCUACUGAGAAUACUAUGAAGUUGUAUUGUGAUAAUCAGUCAGCAAUUAAGAUUGCUGAAAAUCCAGUUCAACAUGAUAGAAUGAAACAUGUAGAGAUUGAUCGAAACUUUAUUUAUGAGGAAUUGGAAGAGAAGAUUAUUGAAGUUCCAUAUGUUAAGACUACUGAACAAUUGGCAAAUAUGUUGACCAAGGUUGUAUCAAAUCAAGCCUUUACAGAUUCACUUACCAAGCUAGGUAUCUGCGACAUCUAUGCACCAUCUUGGGGGGAGUGUUGGCUUGAAUCACAAUAGGAAUUAUAGACAAUUACCUUUAUUAUAUUGAUUUGUAAUUAUAGGAAUACCGGUUUGACCUGGAUUGUAUUUAUUCCUUUUUCCUUAUUGUAAUUAGUUACUAGAUAGACUUGUAUUUGUAUCACUAUAAAUACCUCAUUGUGAGAAGAAUAGAAACAUACUGAAUCAUUCGUAACCCUAAAUUCUAUUUGAAUGGUGUUAGCAGCAGCCAAAAAGGGGAAAAAUUUAUGAAGCGAUUUUCCUUCCAAUGGUGAUUGUGAAUUGAGUCGAGUGAGAGAGAAAGACUUAAGAGGCUGAAAGAAUUGACAAAAGCUCGUGAAUCAUCUGCUCGGCAUUGGCACUGGCUGGUUUUCAUGUAAAUUUGCAGUAUGCAAGUUCUGUUCAAAUCACAUUUUUCAUUGUCUUUUAUGGAAAAAAAAACUGAAACCAAAUGAGUUUGAUUCACAUGAAUUGCAUAAUCGGUAUAUGAUUGUCGCAAGUUAUUUGUUGAAGUGUUUCUCAUACGAUGGCUCCAAAAAAGUGGAGAAAAAUUAUGAAGCAAAACCUAGCUUACCCAACGAACCAGCUUCGAAUGAGCGAAAAAAUUUAUCGAACCAGAUACAGGGGCUAAGUUUUGCAUGGCAGAGAUGAUGCAAGGGUUGAGUCUGAUGAUACGUAGGGUAGAAGAUGAGGAGACGAGAGAACAUGUUUGUGUCAAACGCGUAUUUUAAUAAUUUUUUUUAAAAUAAAAAGAAAUGGGUUGAAGAGUUAAUAGAAUUAAAAUGUUGUUAAAUGGUGUGCCGUGUGUCACAAAACCAAUGAAGAAAUAAAGAGGCACAAGAGAUUUGGUAAGAGGAAAAUUGGACUCGUAAGAGUAACACUAAUUUAUAGAGUGGGUGAUUGACCCCAAGCUUUUUGGAUGUCAGGCAUAUAUAGCUAGCUAUCGCGAAGUACUUUUGGUUUCAGAGCUACCGUCUUAUCCAUAUGGCAUCUACAAACAUACAGCAUAUGUCGGUGUGCCGAUCAAAGAAUAUAUAAAGCAUUUUACUGUGAUCCAUUAUACGCUUUCGUCACGUGUAGUGAUCCAUUAUAUUGUUGGAUAUUGCUAUUGGUUUCGGUUUUUUGAAUGAACCAUAAUCUUAAUCUUACACUGCAAGUCCAAACCUUAUCUCUUGUAGUGUUUCAGGCACCCCUUUCUUGUAGUGUUCUUGUGGUGGUUCUGUUCAAAAUGUUGUCCACCCAAAACCUUUGCAUACUUUACAGAAAAAUUACCCCACAUAUCGGAUAUUGCUUUCCAGUUUCAAAUCCACCACGCUGUGUGUUAUUCAUAGGGCAUCUACAAUGGGGUAUGCUUGUCCCAAUAGUCAUAAGCCAAAUCUCACAUAAUGAAUCUCGAUCCAACUUAAAGAGUAUAAGAUGGAGAUCUCAAGUACUCUGAGUCUAAGAAUUAUAUUUCCAACAUGAAUUUAGGGGUUUUAAUACUUAUGAUUAUUUUAUAGUUAAAAUGAUUUUAUAUGUUAUAUUAAAACACUACGUGCAAAGGAUCCACUAAUGUAGUGGUUUAGAGCAAUUGUUCUCUCAGACAACGUCAUGAGUUCGAGUCCUAGCAUCUGUGUAGUUGAAUUAUCCCUUACAAACCGAAAAGUUGGGCACCUUUCAGAAAGAAAGAAGAAAAAAAGGUUUCACAAACCGAAAAGCUGAAUUAUUCCUUUCAACAAUUGGCAGAUGAAGCAUUUUACUGUUAUCAACUUUACUACCAAAGAAAAGCUCACAAACCGUUUUAGACCAAACAAUUAAGCAUCUAUUAUCACUACUUGCAAAGUUCCAUGCUUUAUGUGCACGCAAAAUCUAGUCCAUAUAUGCUACUCGAUUUUUUUUAAUAAUCAACUGUAGUUUACCAAGAAUUUGUUUGAUAUUUCAUCCAUUGGAAUCAAGUAUUAUUUUUUAGGAGAGUGAUCCGCUCGUUGCCAAAGUAUAUAUCAACAAAAUAUUAGGUAAAAUAUUGACAAUGUACCAUAUACUGUAGAUAUGUUAGUACUCGAUACCAACAAAUUCUUUUCCAGAAUAAAGACCCAUGAGGCAUGUGACUUGAAGAAUAUUAGAAUACUUUUUUAAGGUCCAACAUGCGCGCAGGGAACCAGGCAGAGCCCUAUAUAAAUGGGAUUGAAUUCAUAGUGCAAGUCAUUCAAGCCCUGGUUAAUUCCUUAUCCUUGGUAGUUUUGCAGUUAAUAAAUUAGAAGAAGAUGGUUUGGGAAACAAAUAGGUAUAAGGCCCCGAGCAAGGUUCCCUACGCAAAGGAGCAGAUAAGGGACGUCUUCAAACGUCAUGACAAGAAUGGAGAUGGUCAACUUUCCAAAGAAGAGCUGGACGCAGCCUUUGACGAACUUGGCGCGAAAUGGCCUCCUUUUAGAGCUUGGUUUGCUCGACAGUAUGCAGAUGACAACGGCGAUGGCUUCAUUUCUAUAGACAAGGAGCUCAGCAAGCUCGUCCAGUAUGCCCUAGAAUUGAAGUAUAUACUUCAUUAAUUAUAGUAUUAAUUAGUGGGUAACUAGUUCUUGUAUGUACUUGCUAUAGAUAUAUUCUCAGCAAGCUCAUUGACUAUACCCUCAAUUAAAGCUCUCUCUAUAUAUGUAAUCGUAGUGAUGGAGCUAGACUUGGUAUCUUAGUGGCCACAACCACUUCAAGUUUGUAUGUAACUCCGUCCGUGUGUAAGCGUCUUUAAUUACUUGUAAGCAGCCGUAGUACCUAUAUAUGUGUGCAAGGUUGAAGGAACGAAAGAGGUGACCUUUUUUUUCCCUUCGUUACCAGGGAAGAUGAAGAACCCUGAUUAUGUAUAAUAUAUAGUGAUUAACAAGAAUAAAGUAACAAACUUUGUGUAUUGAUAUCUAUUACAUAUAUAUGUGUAUGUAGGUGUGUCUAUAUAUUUAUAUAUGUACACAUAUAUUGUAUUACAUACGUAUACAUACACAACUUACACUGAUAAAAGCUCCAUGUUAUAGAGAUUACUACAAUAUUCCACUCAACACCACAUUUGGAAGCGUGGACAUGAGCAGAGCAACUUAAUAUGAUUCCAUAUCAAUAUCUUGUUCAAGUGGCAUGCAGAUUUAAAUUUAAAAUCUUCAUAUAAGUAUAUCAAAAAAGAAAAAGAAAAAAAGAAAGAACUUUCACCCAACUUUUCAUUGUUACACUCUUUUCUAUAUAAUUAUUUUCUAGGAGUGUACAUCGGUUCGAAACUAAUACAAUUGUAUAAAUCCGCAUUCGAUCUAAUAUAGAUUGGAUUAUAAUUUUCUAAUCCAAUCCGAUCACAUUAGAGAGAUAUAAAUCCAAUCCGAUUUGAUCCAAUUUAUAUUGGAUUAGACUAGAUUGGAUGAUCGGUUUUCAUAAUGGAAAAAGAUAAUAACGAAAUAUGAAACAUUUAUCUUCAAGUUUAAUAUAAUAAAACACUUUAAUAGAAUGUAAAUUUAAAAUAUCAAUGAAAUGCUAGAGAAAAUUAUUCUGAUUUUAUAAUAUAUCAAACAUAACUUCAUCAAAUUACUUAAAAUAUUUAUAACUUUCUAAAUGAAAAUUGCCUAAUAAGCAAAAUGAGGAAAUCCGUCAUCUGAUCUGAUCAUAUGUUGGUGUUGGAAAUUAGGAAUCCAAUCCACUCCGCCAAAUCAUUGAAACAUAUUAAAGUUGAAUUGGAUUGGUCGGUUUAGGGGAAUUAAAUUGGAUCUUGCACACCCCUACUGUUUCCUUUGGUGAGCAUUUACAUUAUACGUCACAAUCUCUUAAAACAUAGCACAACAAAAUGAAUAUAAUGUUUUCAAUAAAACAACGAAAUAUUCGUGAGGAUAAUCAAAUGGUCAAAUGAUUUCAAAUUUGUUGAUUUUCUUAAAUGGAGAUUGAAAAAUUAGACAGUUCAUAUCCUUAAACCACAUGUGGAAGUGCCCAAAAAAGUAAUUAUUUCAUGCAUAUUAUCUACAAAGAGUUCAAUUUGUAAAUAAAUUUUAAUUUUUUUUAUACAAGCGAUGUCUAAAUUAUUCUAAAUUAAUUAAAUUUAUGAGAAGGGAGGUUCGAACUUAGGUGCAAGGAGGCGCGCUCACUUUACUGACCAAUUUGCAUAAUCCACAUCUACAAAUCAUUCUUAUUAAUAAAUUAAAGAAUUAUGAUAUAUGUACACACAUAUAUACACGUUGCUUAACCAAUAAAUGAAAUGGAUGAAAAAUGUUACUCCUUUUUUUCUUUAAUGAAGAAAAAUGUUACAAUUUAUAAAUGGAUAAAGUCACACACACCAAAUACCAAGUCACAUAAGUUAGGGGCAAAAAGGCAGACAUUUCAACUGGCAUGGAGGUCCCGAUGUUACACUUAUGUUUAUUUAUUAAUAUUAUACUCUAGACUCAUAAAAUAUAUAUAUAUAUAUAUGUGACAGAAAUGAUGUUCUAAAUUACUCCAGCUACAGAUAGGCAGGUUGGAAUUCGAGUUCAAAUUAAAGUUUCUCCACCCAUAUUAAUAGCAUAUCAAGACAUUGUACACCCAAAACCUUUUCAUAAUUUACAAGAAAAUCACACCCCUCCCCCAAUCUAUUUGGAUAUGAAGGCUAUCGCUGUCGAGUUUGAUAUCCAUGCUGUGUUAUCCAUAUGACAUCUAUCUACAAUGGGGGUCACUGUGAAAAAAAUAGCAACAGUCACUAUUAUUUGGUGAUUAAAAUUUAGUCACCCCUAAUUAGUCACUAAAUAUCACCUGGUAAUUGUUACUCUUUUUUUUUUUCUUUUUGUAGCGGGUGAUUGUCCAAUAGUCAUAGGCCAAAUCUCACAUAUAAUUGUUCCCAAUAGUCUUCGGUUUGAUUCUUAUAAGGACAAACCAUGUGGCCUUCGUGUUUGUAUAUAUGCCUUUGGUCUGAGGAUUCUAUUUCCAACAUGAAUUUAGGGAUUUUAAUUCUUAUUGUUAAAAAAUGCUUCACCACGUUGGCCGGCGGAAAAGUUGAAUUAUAGAAAGAAUAAAAACACAAACGGAAAAGUUGAAUUAUUCCUUUCGAUCACUGUCCAUAACAACACUGGCAGAUGAAGUAUUUUUACUAUUAUCGCUUGCAAAAUUCCAUGCUUUAUUUGCACGCACAAAUCUGGUCCAUAUACAAACUAGAAAAUGAUCAAGUACAACAUGCAACACUUAGAACAAGAGAACAUAACUCAAAAACAAGAAGAACAAGAAUUUGUUAGAUAUUCAUCCAUGGAAAUCAAGUAUUAUUUUUAAGGAGAGUGAUCGGCUCAAUUCCAAACUAUAUAUCAACAAAUUAUUAGCUAAAAUAUCGACAAUGUACCAUAUACUAGUAUUGCAUACAUGUUAGUACUCGAUACCAACAAAUUAUUUUCCAAAAUUAAGACCCCUGAGGUAUGUGACUUGAAGAAUAUUAGUUAGAAUACUUUUUUAUGGUCCAACAUAUGCCCAGGGGACCAGGCAGAGUCCUAUAUAAAUGGGAUUGAAUUCAUAGUGCAAGUCAUUCAAGCCCUAGUUAAUUCCUUAUCCUUGUUAGUUUUGCAGUUAAUAAAUUAGAAGAAGAUGGUUUUCGAUACAAAUUAUAAGGUCCCGAACAACGUUCCCUACACCGAGCAGCAGAUAAUGAAUGUCUUCAAAAGUCAUGACAAGAAUGGAGAUGCUCAACUUUCCAAAGAGGAGCUGAAAGAAGCCUUCAAAGAACUUGGCUCGAAAUGUCCUCCUUUAAGAGCUUGGUUUGCUAAAAAUUAUGCAGAUGACAACCGCGAUGGCUUCAUUUCUAUAGACAAGGAGCUCAGCAAGCUCGUCAAGUAUGUCCUAAAAUUGAACUAUACACUUCAUUAAUUAUAGUAUUAGUGGGUAACUAGUUCUCAGCAAGCUCGUUGACUAUGCUGUCAACUGAAGCUCUAUAUAUGUGUGUGGAUAUAUAAACAUAGUGGCGGAGCUAGACUUGGCAUCUUGGGGGGUUGCAAUCACUUCAAGCUUAUAUAUGACUCCGUUCGUGUGUAAGCAUAUGUAAUUACUUGUAAUUCGUAUUACCUAUGUUACUAUGUAUGUGUGCAGGGUAGAGGAAACGAAGGAGAUGACCUUUCGGUACCUCUCGUUUCCGGGAAAGAUGAAUUUGAACCCUGAUUAUGUAUAAUAUAUAGUGAUUAACAAAAAUAAAGUAACAAACUUUGUGU
rnacentral:lncRNA from 1 species